GACGAACGCUGGCGGCGUGCCUAAUACAUGCAAGUAGGACGCUGAAGAGAGGAGCUUGCUCUUCUUGGAUGAGUUGCGAACGGGUGAGUAACGCGUAGGUAACCUGCCUUGUAGCGGGGGAUAACUAUUGGAAACGAUAGCUAAUACCGCAUAACAAUGGAUGACACAUGUCAUUUAUUUGAAAGGGGCAAUUGCUCCACUACAAGAUGGACCUGCGUUGUAUUAGCUAGUAGGUGAGGUAACGGCUCACCUAGGCGACGAUACAUAGCCGACCUGAGAGGGUGAUCGGCCACACUGGGACUGAGACACGGCCCAGACUCCUACGGGAGGCAGCAGUAGGGAAUCUUCGGCAAUGGGGGCAACCCUGACCGAGCAACGCCGCGUGAGUGAAGAAGGUUUUCGGAUCGUAAAGCUCUGUUGUAAGUCAAGAACGAGUGUGAGAGUGGAAAGUUCACACUGUGACGGUAGCUUACCAGAAAGGGACGGCUAACUACGUGCCAGCAGCCGCGGUAAUACGUAGGUCCCGAGCGUUGUCCGGAUUUAUUGGGCGUAAAGCGAGCGCAGGCGGUUUGAUAAGUCUGAAGUUAAAGGCUGUGGCUCAACCAUAGUUCGCUUUGGAAACUGUCAAACUUGAGUGCAGAAGGGGAGAGUGGAAUUCCAUGUGUAGCGGUGAAAUGCGUAGAUAUAUGGAGGAACACCGGUGGCGAAAGCGGCUCUCUGGUCUGUAACUGACGCUGAGGCUCGAAAGCGUGGGGAGCGAACAGG
rnacentral:rRNA from 1 species